rnacentral:lncRNA from 1 species
CUUACUUUGAGGUAAAUAUGGGACCGAUACUAGUAAUGGCCUACUGGACUCAUCAUCAUUCUUAGAAAGGAAAUAAAAUAAAUAUCUUAUUAAGAAUAAUUUAAAGUGUACUUAAUAAUUAGCCUUUGUUGUCACAUAGAGCCUAUAUGAUUUGAUAACUAAUCAGAAACUUAUUAAUUACAAAAAUAUUCUUUAAAUAUGACAAU